UGGAAGCAGAGAGCUGUCAAGUGCCUGCAAACACCGUGUUGCUGCCUGUGCGCUCAGAGGUGGGCUGCAGAGUGUGGCAUAAACAACACAGCUACCUGCCUGUUCGGACGUGAAUCCACGGGAAUGGAGUGGUCCCUCUCUGUGGUCCAGGAAAAGCCAAGAUGUCAACUCAACUGCUUCAGUGAGGCACCUGCUCUGUUGCCUCUCAACCUGGAUGGCGGUGGCCCUUGCCUGACACUCCCGCCCAUGCCUAGUUCCCCACCUUCUCAAUUUUUCUGGUUUCCUUCACUCAUCCUAAGGCCAGCACUAUGCUUGUAACCCAUGGCAGUACUUGGAAAACAGCAAGCAAAAAAAGACUUUGAUCUGUCCACCUUUUUUUCUUUUUGCACUUUCAUGGACAAAAGAGAGAUUCAAUGUUCAAGUGCUUGGCCCUUGUUUACGUAUAAUAGCUUGUCGAAUUUCCCACCCCAUCAAUGGAAUUUAGGCUACUCGUGAUAAGACGCAACUUCGGAAUAAUAAAAAUA
ensembl:lncRNA